AUACGUAGGGGGCAAGCGUUGUCCGGAAUUACUGGGCGUAAAGGGCGCGCAGGCGGCUUGGUUAGUCAGAAGUGAAAGUUUGCAGCUUAACUGUAAAAGUGCUUUUGAUACUGCCUGGCUUGAGUCUCGGAGGGGUAAGCGGAAUUCCUAGUGUAGCGGUAAAAUGCGUAGAGAUUAGGAAGAACACCGGGGGCGAAGGCGGCUUACUGGACGAGUACUGACGCUCAUGCACGAAAGCGAGGGAAGCAAACAGGAUUAGAUACCCUGGAAGUCCACGCCGUAAACGAUGAAUACUAGCUGUUGGGGCAACUCAGUAGCGCAGUUAACACAUUAAGUAUUCCGCCUGGGGAGUACGCACGCAAGUGUAAAACUCAAAGGAAUUGACGGGG
rnacentral:rRNA from 1 species